rnacentral:rRNA from 1 species
AACGAACGCUGGCGGCAUGCCUAACACAUGCAAGUCGAACGAGACCUUCGGGUCUUGUUGCGCACGUGUGCGUAACGCGUGGUAACCUGCCCUUAGGUUCGGAGUAACUCAGAGUAAUUUGAGUUAAUACCGCAUGAUGUCUUCGGACCAAAGAUUUUUCGCCUUUGGAUGGGCCCGCGUUGGAUUAGCUAGUUGGUGGGGUAAAAGCAUGCCAAGGAGACGUUCCAUAGCUGGUCUGAGAGCAUGAUACGCCACAAUGGAACUGAGACACGGCCCAGAAUCCUACGGAAGGCAGCAGUGGGGAAUAUUGGAGAAUGGGGGAAAGCCUAAUCAAGCAACGCCGGGUGAGUGGUGAAGGCGUUAGGGUUGUAAAGCUCUUUUACACGAGAUGAUAAUGACGGUAUCGGGUGAAUAAGCACCGGCUAACUACGUG